rnacentral:rRNA from 1 species
UACGUAGGGUGCGAGCGUUGUCCGGAAUUACUGGGCGUAAAGAGCUCGUAGGUGGUUUGUCGCGUUGUUCGUGAAAACUCACAGCUUAACUGUGGGCGUGCGGGCGAUACGGGCAGACUGAGUACUGCAGGGGAGACUGGAAUUCCUGGUGUAGCGGUGGAAUGCGCAGAUAUCAGGAGGAACACCGGUGGCGAAGGCGGGUCUCUGGGCAGUAACUGACGCUGAGGCACGAAGGCCAGGGGAGCAAACGGG